rnacentral:rRNA from 1 species
AGAGUUGAUUAUGGCUCAGGACGAACGCUGGCGGCAUGCCUAACACAUGCAAGUCGAACGGAAGUAGCAAUACUUUAGUGGCGAACGGGUGAGUAACACGUGAGCAACCUGCCCUAUACAACGGGAUAACACAGAGAAAUUUGUGCUAAUACGGUAUAAGACCACAGUAUCGCAUGAUACAGGGGUAAAAGAUUUAUCGGUAUAGGAUGGGCUCGCGACCCAUUAGCUAGUUGGUGAGGUAACGGCCCACCAAGGCAACGAUGGGUAGCCGACCUGAGAGGGUGAUCGGCCACACUGGGACUGAGACACGGCCCAGACUCCUACGGGAGGCAGCAGUGGGGAAUAUUGGGCAAUGGAGGAAACUCUUACCCAGCAAUGCCGCGUGAAUGAAGAAGGUCUUCGGAUUGUAAAGUUCUUUAAUUGGGGACGAAAAAAAUGACGGUACCCAAGGAAUAAGCCCCGGCUAACUACGUGCCAGCAGCCGCGGUAAUACGUAGGGGGCAAGCGUUGUUCGGAAUGACUGGGCGUAAAGGGUGUGUANGCGGUUUAGCAAGUUAGAAGUGAAAUACCUAGAGCUUAACUCAGGUGCUGCUUCUAAAACUGCUAGACUUGAGUGCAGUAAAGGAAAGUGGAAUUCCUAGUGUAGCGGUGGAAUGCGUAGAUAUUA